UAAGAAAACAACCCGCGAAAGUACCAGUUAGUAUUGCCUGUUGUUUUGUUUACCAGCAACAACAUGUCUGUCUUCUCAAACAGGAAACCUCAAGUGGAAGUCAGAAACCGCUUGACGCAAGCACGCUUUGGAGAACUACGCACGCAAAAGUGUCUUCUUCCUCAAGCCCAUUUCUUCAAGACAACAAAGUGAAAGCAGAGACCAAGAUAAUUCCCGAAGUUACGAGCAGAGGCACGCUUUUAUGAGGGGAAAAAACAUCAGCCGCCACCUCUGAAAUGAAAAAGCCUUGAAAGCGGUCUGCCACCCUGCAGGACAGCUGCUCGGAGACAUGUUUGACAGAAGUGGCAGGUUGCCAAACUGCUCCCUGCUCGGUUUGAAGUAGACCUUGAUGUGACCUCCAUAGAGCUUCCAGACGAGCACCGGAUUCUGUUUUUAGAAUAUGCACCAGGCUACUUCCGGUUUGGUCACCUAGCAACCAAGCUUGUUCCCUCCCAUGUGAUGAACAUCCUCUCAGAGCACCUGACAACGCGACUGAAGCCAAAAAACGUCCCCCGACGAGGGCGAGAGGUGGAGCGCAAAGGGGGAGCUCGCACCCCCCACCCCCCAAACUCCCACCCGCCCUCGAAAGAAGACAAGUUGCUAGUUGGUGGUGUUGAGAGUCCUGGAAUGACUCCUGGAUGCAGACCUCCUGGAACUUGACCAUCAGGUCCAUCAAGGUGAUCAGAUAACAUAAAGGGGCUGAGCACGCUACCCUGUGGGAUGCCAGUGUUUGAUUGAGCACCUGUCCCAGAUGUGCACUUUCCAACAUCGUACCAAUUUGAGGAGACCUGAGUUCACGCUAUUGUGUGGUGACAUUCCUUGUGAUGUUGCACACCCAUCCUGUCCAGACAGGAGCAGACAAGCUGAGGUUGAGGGCGGUGGCAGUGUGUGUCUAAUUACGAGGCGGCGGCGAUCCCGACGGCUCUGUUUGAAGAAUAUGGCAACUGUACAGCUUCUUCGACAAGUAUUCAUUUUUUUUACGACCACCACCUUUGGAGGAGAUCUGACAUCUCUUGCUUCUUCUCACAUGGGCCACUGCAGACACCACACAGACGGCAAACGUCGUUUGUGACCAUCUGCUGACUUGAAGCAUCGAAGAUGAAGGCUUCCCUACAGCUGGCGCCGUGUUAUAUGCACGAGUUAAGCACAUCUCAAAACGUCUGGGAAAGCAGGAAACACAGUUAAUUG